rnacentral:rRNA from 1 species
AGAUUGAACGCUGGCGGAAUGCUUUACACAUGCAAGUCGAGCGGCAGCGCGGGGGCAACCCUGGCGGCGAGCGGCGAACGGGUGAGUAAUACAUCGGAACAUGUCCAGUUGUGGGGGAUAGCCCGGCGAAAGCCGGAUUAAUACCGCAUGAGCUCGAGAGAGGAAAGCGGGGGGACCGUAAGGCCUCGCGCGACUGGGUUGGCCGAUGUCCGAUUAGCUAGUUGGUGGGUAAAGGCCUACCAAGGCGAUGAUCGGUAGCUGGUCUGAGAGGAUGAUCAGCCACACUGGGACUGAGACACGGCCCAGACUCCUACGGGAGGCAGCAGUGGGGAAUUUUGGACAAUGGGGCAACCCUGAUCCAGCCAUUCCGCGUGAGUGAAGAAGGCCUUCGGGUUGUAAAGCUCUUUUGUCCGGAGCGAAACGGUGGCGGUGAAUAUCCGCCACUACGUGACGGUACCGGAAGAAUAAGCACCGACUAACUACGUGCCAGCACGCCGCGUAAUCGUA